AAGCAAGGGAAGGAAUAGUUCCUCUCUAGUAUGCCCUGGUAAGGAAACCUAGAUUCCUGUGACUGAGUUGCAAUGGAAUUCUGGAAAGUCAUUUCUUAUCUCUGGGCCUUGAUCUUCAAGGGCCAGAUAUAUACAAUGGGUGGCAGUAGGCGGAUGGUGAGAUAAUCUUUAUGGGUAUUCCCUGCUUAAAAUUCAAUGAUUAUGAAGUUAGAAACUGUCAAGUGCUGUCUGAUUCUAUGUGAACAGCUUUGGUCUUUCUCUUCCCUUUAGAAUCCAGCUCGCCUGGGGGUGGGAAUGAAGGAGUGAGGAUGUGCUGCCCUGAUCAAUCCACAGGAGGAAUGAAGGGUUGAAUGAAGGGUUCAGAAGGCCAAACCGUGCCCCAUGGGGUCCCCUGGAUAUCUUAAGGAAGGAUUUCUCUGCUCUUGGAUCUUCCAUGUUAGCCUCUGCCUCCCUGCCCCCCUCCCUUCUUUCUCUCUCUGUCUCUGUCUCUGUCUCUGUCUCUGUCUGUGUCUGUCUCCCUCAUCUCUGUCUUUCUGAGUGACACAGUGGAAGGGCUUUUGGACAUCUCACUCCUAAUCCUGGAUGUGAUCUUGAGUAAUUCAUUGCUCCUCUCUGGGACUUAAUUUCUCCAUUUGACAACUUGGUCUGGUAAUUUCUGCCUUGCCUAAGGUAAGAACUGAACAAUAUCAAGUGAGAUCAGGAAGAAUUUGGAAGGGUCUUGUAAACUGUUGAGAGUUCCUCCCUCUGCGAGCUUUUCCUACUGUGGGUUCCAGCUCUCUCUGGGCCUUCCAGUCCCACCUGCCUCUCUCUGUUUCUUGGCCUUUUGAUGACUUUCCUUCUUGGUUCCCAGCUAUCUCAAGUUCUUUGUGUCUUUGUGAAAUUUCCCAGGAUUAUGAUAUUUAUCAUUUUAUUUGUGGUCUCUGGGUGGGAUUACAGGACUUUGGAUGGUGGCUUAAGGUCACAGGAAAGUAGGCUGAAAGCCUCAUGGAGUGGUGUGUGGAGGGGCUGGACAGCAGGGACCAUCUUGGGAGAAUGGCUCUGUGGAUGGAGAUCUCCAGAACUGAGCCCUUAUCUCUAUUUCCUGGUCCUGUUUCACUCCUCUCAGACCCUCGGAGCAGGCUCGAAGUGUCCCAGGGUUUUGCCAGUUUGGAUCCUGGGCGCAGACACGGCACCGCUCAUCAAGCCAUGCUGAGGCGGCAUCCCACGUGCUACAACUAGAAAGACCCACAAGUUCAUGAUGAUUUGAACAGGCGGUGGAAAUAGUGAGGAGAAGGAUGCCUGACCAAAUUCUGGGGGCCUAAUGAAGAAAGCCUGAAAAUGAUCUCAGGGAAGGAGGACAGGAAGGGGUGCACGCUAGGAUAACAGUGCUCUUUCACAUCUGCUUCAGUAGAGCAACUCGGGCCUCCCGCCGCAUCUCUGUCUCUCUCUGCAUCUCUCCCUGCUUCUCUGGCUCUGCCCUUCCCCACCCCCUUCUAGGCCUCUCCAGUCUCCCUCCCCCUGAGUCCCCCUCCC
rnacentral:lncRNA from 1 species